rnacentral:rRNA from 1 species
ACCUUUUGUAUAAUGGGUCAGCGACUUAUAUUCUGUAGCAAGGUUAACCGAAUAGGGGAGCCGAAGGGAAACCGAGUCUUAACUGGGCGUUAAGUUGCAGGGUAUAGACCCGAAACCCGGUGAUCUAGCCAUGGGCAGGUUGAAGGUUGGGUAACACUAACUGGAGGACCGAACCGACUAAUGUUGAAAAAUUAGCGGAUGACUUGUGGCUGGGGGUGAAAGGCCAAUCAAACCGGGAGAUAGCUGGUUCUCCCCGAAAGCUAUUUAGGUAGCGCCUCGUGAAUUCAUCUCCGGGGGUAGAGCACUGUUUCGGCAAGGGGGUCAUCCCGAC